rnacentral:rRNA from 1 species
CGGUUAAAUACCGACCUGCAUGAAUGGCGUAACGAGAUGGGAGCUGUCUCAAAGAGGGAUCCAGUGAAAUUGUAGUGGAGGUGAAAAUUCCUCCUACCCGCGGCAAGACGGAAAGACCCCGUGGACCUUUACUACAGCUUGACACUGCUACUUGGAUAAGAAUGUGCAGGAUAGGUGGGAGGCUUUGAGUAUAUGACGCCAGUUGUAUAUGAGCCAUUGUUGAGAUACCACUCUUUCUUAUUUGGGUAGCUAACCAGCUUGA